rnacentral:rRNA from 1 species
UACGAAGGGGGCUAGCGUUGUUCGGAUUUACUGGGCGUAAAGCGCACGUAGGCGGAUCGUUAAGUCAGGGGUGAAAUCCUGGGGCUCAACCCCAGAACUGCCUUUGAUACUGGCGAUCUCGAGUCCGGAAGAGGUGAGUGGAAUUCCUAGUGUAGAGGUGAAAAUUCGUAGAUAUUAGGAAGAACACCAGUGGCGAAGGCGGCUCACUGGUCCGGUUACUGACUGCUGAGGUGCGGAAAGCGAUGGG